rnacentral:misc_RNA from 1 species
GAUGAAGAACGUAGUGAAAUGCGAUAAGUAAUGUGAAUUGCAGAAUUCAGUGAAUCAUCGAAUCUUUGAACGCACAUUGCGCCCGCUAGUAUUCUGGCGGGCAUGCCUGUUCGAGCGUCAUUAUAACCCCUCAAGCUCAGCUUGGUGUUGGGGCCUGCCGACUGGCAGCCCUUAAAAUCAGUGGCGGCGCCAUCUGGCUCUAAGCGUAGUAAUUUCUCUCGCUAUAGAGUCCCGGUGGAUGCUUGCCAGCAACCCCCAACUUUCUAUGGUUGACCUCGGAUCAGGUAGGGAUACCCGCUGAACUUAAGCAUAUCAAUAAGCGGAGGA